CUUCAUGUUAUAAUUUUCAUUUAAGAAAAGGAAACAAAACUUUUUUCUCUAAAAGGCAUACUUUGAGAAUAAUAAAAAAGAAACAAGGUAUAAAGGUAUGAACAUGUCACCUACAAAAACAACGGUUUCAACGAAUACAUCACUGAUAUGGAAAAUUGCCGCCGUUUUCUUUCUGUGUACUACAUUAAUAUUCGUCAGUCUGUUUGUUUGGAGUGAAUUAAAAGGAGACACAGAUUCUGGAAAUCAAG